AAAGAAGGUAAUAAUCCUGUAGUCGAAAAUGUUGUCUCUCUUGAGUGGAUCCUGAGUACGACGGAGCACGUGAAAUUCCGUCGGAAUCUGGGAGGACCAUCUCCUAAGGCUAAAUACUCUCUAGUGACCGAUAGUGAACCAGUACCGUGAGGGAAAGGUGAAAAGCACCCCGGAAGGGGAGUGAAAUAGAACCUGAAACCGUGUGCUUACAAGUAGUCAGAGCCCGUUAAUGGGUGAUGGCGUGCCUUUUGUAGAAUGAACCGGCGAGUUACGAUUUGAUGCAAGGUUAAGCAGUAAAUGUGGAGCCGUAGCGAAAGCGAGUCUGAAUAGGGCGUUUAGUAUUUGGUCGUAGACCCGAAACCAGGUGAUCUACCCUUGGUCAGGUUGAAGUUCAGGUAACACUGAAUGGAGGACCGAACCGACUUACGUUGAAAAGUGAGCGGAUGAACUGAGGGUAGCGGAGAAAUUCCAAUCGAACCUGGAGAUAGCUGGUUCUCUCCGAAAUAGCUUUAGGGCUAGCCUCAAGUGAUGAUUAUUGGAGGUAGAGCACUGUUUGGACGAGGGGCCCCUCUCGGGUUACCGAAUUCAGACAAACUCCGAAUGCCAAUUAAUUUAACUUGGGAGUCAGAACAUGGGUGAUAAGGUCCGUGUUCGAAAGGGAAACAGCCCAGACCACCAGCUAAGGUCCCAAAAUAUAUGUUAAGUGGAAAAGGAUGUGGCGUUGCCCAGACAACUAGGAUGUUGGCUUAGAAGCAGCCAUCAUUUAAAGAGUGCGUAAUAGCUCACUAGUCGAGUGACACUGCGCCGAAAAUGUACCGGGGCUAAACAUAUUACCGAAGCUGUGGAUUGUCCUUUGGACAAUGGUAGGAGAGCGUUCUAAGGGCGUUGAAGCAUGAUCGUAAGGACAUGUGGAGCGCUUAGAAGUGAGAAUGCCGGUGUGAGUAGCGAAAGACGGGUGAGAAUCCCGUCCACCGAUUGACUAAGGUUUCCAGAGGAAGGCUCGUCCGCUCUGGGUUAGUCGGGUCCUAAGCUGAGGCCGACAGGCGUAGGCGAUGGAUAACAGGUUGAUAUUCCUGUACCACCUAUAAUCGUUUUAAUCGAUGGGGGGACGCAGUAGGAUAGGCGAAGCGUGCGAUUGGAUUGCACGUCUAAGCAGUAAGGCUGAGUAUUAGGCAAAUCCGGUACUCGUUAAGGCUGAGCUGUGAUGGGGAGAAGACAUUGUGUCUUCGAGUCGUUGAUUUCACACUGCCGAGAAAAGCCUCUAGAUAGAAAAUAGGUGCCCGUACCGCAAACCGACACAGGUAGUCAAGAUGAGAAUUCUAAGGUGAGCGAGCGAACUCUCGUUAAGGAACUCGGCAAAAUGACCCCGUAACUUCGGGAGAAGGGGUGCUCUUUAGGGUUAACGCCCAGAAGAGCCGCAGUGAAUAGGCCCAAGCGACUGUUUAUCAAAAACACAGGUCUCUGCUAAACCGUAAGGUGAUGUAUAGGGGCUGACGCCUGCCCGGUGCUGGAAGGUUAAGAGGAGUGGUUAGCUUCUGCGAAGCUACGAAUCGAAGCCCCAGUAAACGGCGGCCGUAACUAUAACGGUCCUAAGGUAGCGAAAUUCCUUGUCGGGUAAGUUCCGACCCGCACGAAAGGCGUAACGAUUUGGGCACUGUCUCAACGAGAGACUCGGUGAAAUCAUAGUACCUGUGAAGAUGCAGGUUACCCGCGACAGGACGGAAAGACCCCGUGGAGCUUUACUGUAGCCUGAUAUUGAAAUUCGGCACAGCUUGUACAGGAUAGGUAGGAGCCUUUGAAACGUGAGCGCUAGCUUACGUGGAGGCGCUGGUGGG
rnacentral:rRNA from 1 species